rnacentral:lncRNA from 1 species
GGAAGUGAGGUAAAAUCAUUGAAAAAGGCUGAGAGUAAAGAGGCCCUUAGUGUUAAAAGCCAACUUAAAGGCCCAACAUUGGUGAGUGAUUGCACACACAAGUCACGAGAUGAGAAAGUGAGUUUAUUCGCUAGGUUUCGAGAUAUCAAAUUUGCUCCUUGUACAAAACAAACAUUUGUAAUUAUUAGGUUUAGGGAAAACUUUGUUUUGACUAACCCUAAUACAUAUUUGCCUAGUUGUUUUGUUGAUAUUUUGCAGGAUUUUGAGGAUGUAUUUCCUUCUAAGAGAAAGAAUAAACUUGAUGCACGAGGAGAUGGACCAUUCCAAGUACUUGAGAAAAUAAAUGACAAUGCUUAUCGCAUUGAUCUUCCUGGUUCAGAUUCGAGGACGAAUCUUCUUGAAGAGGGGGAGAAUGAUACGAGCCAAGGAGGUGACACUCAAAGGGUUGUCUUUCCUAGUGGUCCAAUCACUCGAAGCAAGGCACGUCAAUUAAAAACAAAGAUGAAUGCUUUUGUCCAAGACUUUGUUGCUACAAAUUUAAUUCAUCAUGUUCGUGACAUUGACAAAUACGAGAAUGCAAUUCACUGGACCAAUCUUGGAAUAGUGAAAGCCCAUAAAUUGGUGGAUUAAUCUUUUAUGUAUAUUAUUAUUAUUAUUAUUUACUUAAUUCUCAUUGGUUGGGACACAUCAUUUAUGAGUUAAGUAAUUUUAUUGGCUAGGUUAUUAUUUAUUUAUUUUCUUAGAUAAUUUUAAAGAGUUUUAUUAGGAUUCAAUUACUCUUUAAAGAGUUUUUAUCACGAUUCAAUUACUCUUGUAAUUUGCCUAUAAAUAGGCUUGUUUUCUACACAUUGGAGACAGAAUGAAAAAAGAGAUUAUUUAUUUUCUUCCAAAUUUGUGUGAGGCAAAUUUUUGAGAGUAGAGUGAUUCUUCUCUUGCUAUUUAGUUUGGAGUUUGUUAUUUUCGAGGGUAUUUCAGAGUUACAAAUAUUCAAAUUUCUUUCCCGUUCAUCGGUGUUUCUAGAGGUUCUUCUUCUAGGAGUUUCGUAGGGAGCCGCUCAAUCAUUGGCGUUUUUGGUUGCAAGUUAACCAAGGGUUCCAUAGGGCAAAUCUAUCCUUUUAUUAUUAUCAUUAUUAUUUAACUAAUUUAUUUAUUCUCGUUUUUAUUUCUAAUUUGUGUUUCUCUUGUGUCUAGAUCCGGGGUUUCCGCAUCAUAUAUAUAGGCGCAUACAUACAUAUUUAUAAUAUAUAUACGUACAUAAUCUUUUUUUAAUUUGUAUAGAUAUAAAUACUUAUAUGAUGUAUAUACUUUACACUUCAUAUAUAUAUGUACGCAUAUGCAUAUAUUUUUCAAUUUAUAUCUAUAUAUAUAUACAUACUUAUGUUCUUUUUAUGCUUUAUGAUUUAUAUAUAUACACAUAGAUAAGCAUAUUUGUUUUUUUAUAUAUAUGUAUAUACAUUCAUAUAAUUUAUAAAUUAUAAUUUAAAUAUGUAGAUAUACAUACAUAAUUAUUGAAACUUUCAUAAUUUGUAUUGCUAUCGUUGUUUUAUUUGAUAUUUAUUUAUUUAUGUGUUCCUUAUUAUUUUUAUGAAAUGCUUUAGUUCUUUUUUAUUUACUUAUUAUUUCAUGUAUAAUUGAUUUUUUAUUGUGUGUCUUUUUUGUUGUUGCUCGUAUUAUUUAUGCUUACAUUAUCAUAUUCAUCUUUGUUUAGUUACGCAUAUUAACAUCGUGUUUUAUUUUUACUAUUUUACGUUAAAUUGUUUUUAUUUAAUGUAUAAAUUAUGACUUUUUGAAUAAACAAAAUUUCGUGUUUAGAUUUGAAGAGGAUCGUACCCUAACUUACUGGGUUUCGAUUUUCACAAUAAAUCUAAAUGCACGAAUCUUCUCAAACUCAAGUUUUAAAUGAUCUCGGGAUUUAAAAGAAAAUCGCGUCCUAACUUAAUGGUCGUGAUCUCCUUUUUUAAAUACGAGAUUGCGAAAAUAUCUUUUAAAUAAGCAUUUUUUUACGUAUCGAGAGCUCGAGACAUUGUGUCCUAACUUACUGGAUAUGGUUCUCUUUCUCGAUUAAUGUGAAAUAUGCUUCUUUUCCCAAAAAUUUUCAUUUUAAUACAAGUAUUCCAAGUUUUCAGUUUUUCGACAUUAAAGACAUUAAAUCAACUAGGUAUCAAUUUUGGGUGUUACGAGGGUGCUAAUCUUUCCUUGUACGUAACCGACUCCCGAACCUAUUUUUCUGAAUUUCGUGGACCAAAAUCGUUGUUUUAAUAAAAUCAAACCGUUUAUUAAAACAACCACUUUUUGAGGUGAUCCAAUCACACCUCAUCAAAAAAAAAAGAUUGGUGGCGACUCUCGUUUUUGUUUACAAAAUUCAAAUCGACCCUGUUUUUAUUCAAAAAAUGGUGUCAACAAUUGGUAUUGGUUAGCUAUGGUUUAGGAGUCAGUUGUCUCACAACAUUGUUUUAGUUUCAAAUCGAGAAAGGUUUUUUCUUGGUAAGAGUUAGUUGUUGGGUUGUCCUCGUAGUUAAUUUUCAACUAUGAAAGAAUUAUGAAAUCUGGGGUUGUUUCUCGAUCUCUAUAAUCGACUUAUCGAUUGGAGGAGAAAAUUCAUUAUUCGAAAUCAGUUUGAAGUCGAAAUCAAAAUUGCGCUUAAGGCUAAAGUUUUCAUUUGUUUGUUUUAUUUAGAUUUAAUUGUGUUUUACUUAUUUUUAUUUCGUUUUUAUUUUUAUUUAAUUUCUAUUAUUUAUUUUAUAUUAGAUUUAAUCCUUUCUUUAAUUUUGUAGAUUGAUCUAACUUUAGUCAUAAGAAAUCGUAAAAUUAAUCAGUCUAGUCUUUGUGAGAUCAACCCUACUCACUGUACUGCAAAUUAAUUUAAUUUCAGUUUAGGUGUAGGAAUUUAUUUUUGGUGAAUUCGACAUCUGUCAGCCUUUAGUCUAAUCGAAAAUGAGUAAAUUAAUUAAAAGUCUAAUAUGACAUUUAUCAAGUCCAAUUGGGAGGAUUCCUUUUCUUGAGUAUUGAAAUGGAUGACUUCAAGAAAAUAGAGAUAUAUAUGUGAUUAACUAGAGUAAAAAUACAUAGGACAAAAUCUAAGUAGAAUAGAUUCUAAAUUUAUUUAUGAAUUUAUUCACUAAUAAUGCUUAUAGUGUGACAUGUCUUAAUCCUAAGUGGAUUAUGAGUUAUAUAUGUGUAAUUUGUAUACUUUGAUAUAAGUGUUAAAAGCUGAUAGAUUAAAUAUAUAACUUAUGUAGUAUGUAAUAUCAUUCGAUAACAGGGGGAAUGGCUAAAGAAAACUCUACAACAUGUUGAACAUUAUAAGAAGUUAAAUUCGUCCAGCAGAUUCAAAACUAAAAAGCUUAAAAUUAAAGCAGGUAAACGGCUAAAGGCAACUCCACCACUAGCAUUUGAUGCAGCAUAUACUCACUAUACUCACCUUUCAAAAAUUUUAGUUAUGCUAUUUAAGGCAUUGCAGCGGCACCUGGCAUGUAAUACAUACUAAUAGUAUAUCAAAAGCAACUCCAUUUAGCUCUAAGUGGUGAGGCCAGUUCACCGGCCACAUUUUUUACAGGUCAGGUGCUGGUGCAAUUGCAAAGCCUUUAAUUGUUAAAGGGAAAAUUACCGUUACAUCUGUAACGGAGCUACCAUUUUCCGUUAAUGAAAAUGCUAUUUUCCAUCUCUCUCCCUCUUCCCACAAUCUCUCCCCUACUUUGAUUUUCUCUCCCUCUCCCUUUCUUCUCCACCACCACUGCUAUUAGAAGCCUAACCACAUUGUCCUUCCAUUUCAUUCUCUUCCAUGGCCAUCCAUUCUUGCCUUUGCACUUCUCACCAUUUCCAUCUUCGUUGUAACUUGGUUCAUCUUCUUCACUCAUGCUUCCAUCAUUUCCUAGAUUCAUAUGCAAAGAACAAAGUGUAAAAUGAGAAGAACCAAUGUAUACCAUGUCAACAAGAAAGGCUGGUCAAGCUUGUUAAUGGGAUUCAAGAUAAUGUUGCUAUUUGUCACUACAUCAAGUUUUGGUCCCCAUUGAUAAGGAUAACCUUCACAAUAACAAAUAAUCGAAACUUAUUUUUUCUUAGAAACCCAAAAACAUACAUAUAAAAAAGCACAUUACUUUCAAAAACCCAAAACACAAUUUCAAAAUUUGACAGUUUAGAGAGUAGAGUAACCUACCGGGGAACUCCAAGAAUAGAACGGGUACUAUAAGUAACAGUCCAGGUGAAAUACAAGUAAGGGUAUUCAGCAUUCACCAAAGACAUGCCCAAAAUAGACAAAACACCAAAAACAAAAUGAGGAAUGAAGGAUUUCUCCAUUUCCCUUUUAUACCCUGAAAGCCAACCAAUGAAAAAAUUUUAAAAACAAAAACCUGGCAGAAAUGGGUUUAUCAGAAGACUAUCACCAUUAUCGGCUGAAAUAGAAACUCCUUGGAAAGUGAACUAUUUUAAGAACAAAACAGGGGAAAAAUAUGUAUAGACUAGAUGUUGGUGGAAGUAGAGUGGCCUUUUUAAAGCAAUUUGGAAGCUUAUGAUAAUUUCUUCCAGCUUAUGUUUAUUUUCACCGCUUUAAAAAGGCCAAAAAUGAAAAAGAAUGAAUCAUGUAAUAGACGAGAAGGAAAAUAAAAAUGGAAAUCUGGGUUAGGUUGAAAUAAAAAUGUACUCUAACUAAUCUGAUGUAAACUCAUAAGCCACAAACGUCACUGCACCAAUCUGAUGUAAGGAACAGAGUAAUAACAGCGUCGACGGUGGGGAUGAUGGUGAAGAAGGAAUGGGGGGAAGAGGGGGAGAGGGCAAGGUGGGGAGGUCUGAAAAAAAAUAAAGGGCCUUAUGAUAGGGGGAGGGAUGGUGGGGAAGAGGGAGAGGGAUGGAAAAUGACAUUUCCAUUGUUGAAUUGUAAAUUUUGGAAGGUGAGUAUGAUAAGUAUGCUGCAUUUGAUGCUGUUCCAUUGACAAGUUUGUUCUACUUAAUUAAGAGCCUUUCACUUUGCUAUAUCAUUAAAAGGAAAAGAAAAAGAAGAUACUGAUGUGCAAAACGGAUAAUUUUUAUUAUAAAUUAAUUCUUAAAAUAUGUACAAUAUUGAAAAUUUAUUAUUUUGAAGGGUUCCUACAAGACUUAUGAAUGUUGAGCUCCUUAUAUUUAAUAUGUUGGUUGUGAUCACUGAUGAGGACUCUAUUCUAACUAUAUCAUAUUUUUGUGUAAGUAGGAUCUGAAAUGUGGUAAAUUGAUCCUUAACAAGUAAGAUUUUUGUUGAAUAAUUUUUCAUUCUGUCUUAAUGAGGAAACAAUCAUGUAUUUAUAUAUGUUACUACCAUUCAUGGAAUUGACUCCAAUGUUCAUAGAACUAACAUUCUUAGCAGACUUUGAGUACAUUAAACACGUGUACUGUUUUAGACUAUUUGCUGGACAAUCCUCAGGCUCCUACGAGCCAAGACAUGCGAGCUCCCCUUGCAAUCUCCUCUUGUCUUGUGCGAGUUGAGUCUACACUCUGCAAGCUUUCUUUGCGAACACACUUUGCGAGCUCCAUGCUGUAAGACUUGCAUGUAUCCAAUUGUGAUAAUUUAAAAAUAUUGAUAAUUAAAAUUUUCUACUUACAGUAAGUAAAACCAGAUAGAUUGGGUUUUUUAAGUUUUAGAAAAAAAAAUCAUGUUUGAUAAAAACAAAAUAUUAUUUGCUAUAAAAUAUUUAAAUCAAUUUUAGUUAUAAAAUAUAUUUUAGAUUAGUGUAUUAAUAUAUUAAGAUAAAUGAAGGCAUGCAAAGAGGAGACACCAAAUUUACGUGGAAAACCCUUCUAUAUUCUGAAUAUAGAAGGGAAAAAAAACCACGGGAAAAAAGCCAUCACUAUAAUUCAUAUGUGGAGUUACAUUUGAAGACAUUUACAUCAACUCCAAUCGGAGUUCAAAAAGUUGUCCAGUUCUUGCAAUGUGAUGAAACUAUUGGCGUUGACAUCCUCACGAGCUUCUUCCUGAAUAUGCAAAUCAAUACCAGUUCUUAGGCUUGAGAAUCAAAUAUAUAAGCAUGCAUGAACAAGCUUUAUGAAUAUAUAAGCUAAAUCAUAAACAUGUAAAAAUAUAAAACGAAAAUAGAGCAAGGGUUAGGCAGGUACCAGAUGGUGAGAAUUAUAAUCAGGCACUCCAAGAUUGCCACCAACACCUGCCGACGUCCAAGGGUUUGGUUGUUGGUUUAAACAUGCAGUGAAGGGUGGUGACGGUGAGAAGCCUCCUGCUUCUGGAGCCAUAUAAUCAAAUGACUGAUUCCCCAGGGGCACGAAAGCAAAAUGAUUUGUUGAAGUCGACGGCACCUCCAUCAACUUACGUUUCUUUUUCUUGUUGAUUUCUCCUUCACAUUCUUCGUAAUCCGGGCUCACAACAGCAGCAUCCUUAUUCUUAAUCUCACAGAUAACAUAAUCACUCAAACCAAGAGCUUCUUGGUCUUUCAAGGAGAACUCAUGCAUGCUCCAUUGACCAUUUGAUUUCUGGCUUUUCUUGCGGGUGUACUUGAAGUAUUUAUCAUACCCUAUGACUUCGCCGCCGUCCGAGUUCUUCACUUCUUUGAUAUAUUGUUGGAGCCAACAUCCAUCUCCCGCGGUUCUUUCGAUUCUUGAUUUGCUCUUCUUCUUCAGCUUCGUGAUAACCCAGAAAGACUCUUCUGCCGAAUCUUGGUUGAAAAUAUUCCAAGGCUCGCGAUUUUCUCCAUAAAUAUCCAACUCCUCCAUCACACCAGCAGGUAUGGGGUCGCCCUUGAUGAAUGGUUGAAGGUAAUCGCAAAGGAUUUCUUCUUUGGUGGGAAGAAAUCGAAACCCUACAGGAAUCUGAAGCUGCGGGCUAACAGUUGACAUGAUCGUUAAGGCGGUGGUGAUCGACGACGAGAAAGAUGAGAUCAAUUUCAAAAAUUUUCUAUUUUAUAAUUUACAUAUAAAUCCUUUUGUAUCAAAUAAUUUGUUUAUAUAUAUUAUUUUAAAAUAAAUAAUAAUAAUUCGUUAAUUCAAAUUUCAUAAUAUGAAAUUUACAAUUUUAACUUCAUUCAAAAUUUUAAUUAUAAAAUUCUUUUACUCAAAUUAAAUUAUAAUUUUUGCAAUAAAAAUAACAUUUUACUUUUAUUAAUUUUAAAUUUAAAAAAAAAAGUUAGAAAAUCCAUAUGAAUUUUUUCGCGCACUCUUAGUGUCGCCGCUGCAUGUAGUGUGAAUGUAGCUUAAUAUUCAAAAGAAACUGAAGCAAAAACAAAUGGAUUAAUAAAUAUAAAAUUAUAUCAGGAAAUCAGCUUAAUCCUUUUGGUCUUAACAUACCUUCUUUGUUGUAGUUAAAGCCACGGACUCGCCGGAAAGUCCCUCGUACCAGUGUCGACACGCCGGAACAUGCAAGGACACGGGAUUUUGGUGGUUGAAAGUCGUUAAAAACAUCAGAAUAGUGAUAGAAAAUCUCUGUUUGAAACCUAAAUCUGCACAUCAUCAUUAAGAUUUUCUAUAAUCUAAUAUGGUGCAUGUUCUUAGGAGGUUCAGAGAGGUAUAAUGAGGGUAUUUUUGAAUAUUUCGACACCGUUGACGGCGGCCGGAGUGGUAGCGGAGGGUCUAAUGAGGUUCCGAAAGAAAAAGUAAUUGCUUGAAGAUGUCAUCGUUUAACCCGUCGAGUAUCUAUGAACUUCUUAACAAAAAAAUCAUUUAAAUGACAAUUUUGCCCAUAGACAGGUGUCAUCUUCUCAACCUUUAGAUAUGAAGGAGUUUCCCACUACUUGCAUGGGAAUUCCCACCAAUGUUCUUAACACUUGUAAUGUGAUAAUGGAAAAAAGAGAAGAAUUUGUUUGUUAACAGUUUCGUGUUUAAUUACUAGUAAUCGAUGUGGGAUGUUAAUAUCAUUUGAUGUGUUCUUUGUUUUGUUUAGGAUUAGCAGCAUUUGCAUAAGAAUCGUUUGCAAGAAUAUGCUCAGAGAUCCAGGGUCGGUCUCCCUGUUUACCAUAGCUUCAACGAAGGGUUUGCGCAUGCUCCGAGGUUCAAAGCCACCGUUCGAGUUGGUCGAGUCACUUACACUUGUAGGCUGACUUUUCCACACCGGAAAGAAGCUGAGCAAAACGUUGCUCGGGUUCAAAGCCAUUAAACAACUACUGAUUGUUGAUCUAGUAAGCCCUUCUGAAUAACCUGUUAUUGUUGUGGUAAGUCAUUUCAUCUCAUUAAAAAUGGUAAAAACUAGUGUUAGGACAUGGUGAAGCUUUGAAAUGCUGUAAUGAUCCAUUAACCAAGCCUAGGAAUGACACCUAACGCUAAUGACCUUGUCCUGCCAACUUACGUUGUAAGCGUCCGAGUGCUGAUCCCAAUCAUCGUACGAAACAAGCGGAAUCCGCAGUACGAGGAGCGUGAUCGGAAGAAAAUGCGAAUUGGUCGGCAGUAGGUUUGUGUUUCUCCAUUUUGAUCGUCUCCUACUAAUGCUUAAGUUGAGUGCAAGGGGGCUAAAGCUACAAUGUUGAAUUGAACUUGACAUGCAUAUAUAUAUUCCAUUUGAUUGGUUGUAGGUUUUGUCUACCAGGAGGAGAGAAGAAAAGUUAUUGGGAAUUCUAUAAGAUAGGAAGGGAACUUUGAAGCCAUCCACAUGGAUUCAAUGUGCUUUGUAUGUUCUGAUUAUAAAUAUGGGCUGUAGGCAUAGAUGUUUAUAGGUUGGGUCCAAUCAAAAUUUUAGACAUAUUUGUUAAGUUAGCUCGGCUAAAAAAAUUGACCUAAAAUUUUGUCCAAAUUCAGCUCGGAUAAAAUGUUAAAAUUCAAGUCCGGCAUGCCCGUAUUAAUUUUUAUAUUAAUUUUGUUAAAUAAUUAUUUUAAAAUUAUAAUACAUAAAAAAUAUUAAAAAUAUUAAAAUAAAUAUUUCCCUACAAAUUGAAAAUAAAUUUAAAAAUAUGUAUAUUUAAAUAACACUAAGAUAAGUGCAACUUAACUAGCAAAUAUCUCUAAAAUAGUAACAAAAUUAACAAUAAAACAAGAGUUAUACAAUAUCCAAACAAUAACAAUCAAAUAGUAACAAUAUAAUAGUCAAAUGGUAGCAAAACAGUAAAAUACAACAAUAAAAAAUUGCAACAAAACAGUAAAAAAAAUAACAAAUUUUUUUGUAUAUUCGAGCCGGUAUUGGGCAAAAAAGCCUUACUCAAGACUAAUCUAUUUUCUAAACAGACCUUAUUUUUUUGUAUGAGCCAUUUUUCUCGCUUAUACUUUUAAUCAAAUUCUCCUACUUUUUGAGUGGGCCUUCGGAUUGAGUGGCCCAACCUAUAGACAAGUCUAGUUGUAUAACCUUAUUCUUCUAUUUGGAACUCGUUUGUAUCGUGUUGAAUAUGUUGAAAGUGUGCACUAAAAAUGAAGUCACCAACAUAUGUUACUUUCCACUUCAGAGGUAAUUGGUUUUGCAUGUGCAUGCGCAGCGAGAAGCUAAGAAAUUACUUUUAAGGCAGAGAUUAAUGAUAAAAUUUAGGGGAUAAAAUAUAAAUUUAUUAUUAUACUUAGAUAUAAUUUUAUAAAUUUUAAAAGGGUAAAAUGCCAAAGUUACCAUUUUGGGACAAGGCGACUGCGUCAGUACUGUGUCUUUGCCCUAUUGUGUGCAUUGUGAUAUAUUUGUAGGUGUUUAUGUAGCACAUUAAGUUUCGUUGUCUAACAUACGUACGUAAAAUUUGCUUGGCAUAGGCAAAUCCAAAAACACUACAAAACAGAAGGGGUAAAGUAACAUUUAGACCAUGAUAUGAUGAUGUGAUACACUCUCAAAAUAUUAUGUCAUCAACUGGAUCAAAUUUGAAAAAAAUGGCUAAAUUUAAGGAGUAAUACGGACCCAAAUAAAUUUAGUGAUUAAAUUAAAAUUUUUUUUAUCAAAUUUAGAGACCAGUGGUGUGUUUGAUAAACUUUUGAAAGCUUUCAUUUAAUAUUUGAAUGUGUUUGAUAAUCAUUUUAAUUUUUAUUUAAUAUAAUAUUUUCAACAAAGAAAUGUUAAAUAAGAUAAGUAGAUAGGUAACUAUUUAUCAAAAAUAUUAAAUUGAUUUUAUUUUAUUAAAAAAUUGAAAUAAAUUAUAUUUUUAAAAAAUUAGAUAUUCAAAUUAACAUAUUAUAAUUUAUCUAAAAUAAUAUAAAAUAUUAUAUUCACAAGAUUAAAAUUAAAUAAUAAAUAGCCUUUUUAAAAUUAAUAUUUAUUUUUAUCAAACAACAUAGUUUGUCGAUAUCAGGCUAAUCCUGGUCCAAGACACUGACAAACAUUAAAACAAGUACUCAAGUAUUUAUGAAGUACACUAGAUUAUAUGCUUGUGUAUUUUGGAGGGAGACCAUACUCCUAUUAGUUAUACAAAUUCUGAAUUCCAAACGUGUUAGGAUUUGAGAAAAUCAACAUCAAACUGUGUCUUUAUCCUAGACGACAGAUCAAUAGUGUGGAGAAAUGCCAAGCACAAUUGCACUGCUAAUUUCACUAUGGAGGCCGAAUAUGUGACUACUUUCGAGGCAAUAAAAGAAGUAAUAUGGCUUCAGAAGUUCCUUAUGGAUCUUGAAACCGGUCUUGGUAAGGGAAAACUAUCAUAUUGUAUUGUGACAAUAAUGUUACAAUAGCUAAAACCAAGAAACCUGAAACCAUAAGAGAACAAAACACAAGAUAGAAAGUAUGACAUCACAAGUGAGGUAGUAGAAGAUGAAAUACUGGAUAUAAUCAAAGUCACAUCAGAAGAUAACCUUACGGAUUCUUUACCAAAACCGUGGUGGUUAUGAGUUUUGAGAAACAUGUAAAGGGUAUGAGAAUACGAAAUAUGACUCAUUUACUUCACUAGAGCAAGUGAGAUAUUGUCAGUAUCUAGUACGCUUAAUGUAUAUGAAUUAGUAUUUUUCAAACAAAUUAGUUUAAUAAAAAUAUUCAUCAAUUUCAUUAAUCUCUUUAUAUAUUGCCCUCUACGGUCUUGUGCAUGCAAAACAAAAUGAAAUAAAAUAUUAACCCAUUAAUUAUCUAAUGUUUAACUAAUACUAGACGGUACUACGUGAACGAAUCGUAAUAUGAAAAGACAACUUAUGUUACUAGAUAACUUAAACCCACUCUUGACAAUAAACUUAAUUGACAUAUAUUACUAUUUAUUUUAAUUAAUUUUGAAUGAUUUUGACAUUUUAUUGGUAAUAUUAUUUAAUGUGAAAAAAUUAAUUUGAGUUGUGGGCUACAAGGAAGAUUUUACAUGAGAACUAGAGUGGAGCCCACCAAUAUUCCUAAAUUUUAAGACUAUAUUAAUAAUUAUUUUAAAGGGAAAUUAAAAUUCCAUAUAUUUUAUUUUAGGGUUUAUUAGUCUAUAUAUAUAAUAAUACUAAACGGAGGCGUUUUUGCAACCACCCAAAACCAUUGUCCUUUUUUUUUAUUUAUUUAUUUAGUAAAUUUUCUUUGUGUUAUUUUAUAUCUUUAUCCUUCAAGUACCUAGUUAACUUUGAUCUAAUUUUAAGUCAUUAUUUAAUUAAUGUUUGGAUUGUGAAACUUCGAAUUCACAUUUAUUAUUUUUCAUAUUGUUAUUGUGGUUAGCUAUGGUUUAGGAGAUAAAUCAAUUGUUUUAGCUUCAAAUCGAGAAAGGUUUUUUUUGUUGGAUAAGGGUUAGCUGUUGGGUUGUUCACGUAAUUAAUUAAGAAAUGUACGUAUAUAUACAUCAAAGUUUGAAACUAAAAUAAAAAAUAAUAAUAAGUAAAUAAUAAUAAUAUUAUUAACAAAAUAAUGAAUUAAUCUAAAAUUUAAAAAUCAUAAAAAAACAUAUAAGUAAAUAAAUAAAAAUAUAUGGGAAAACCAAAAUAUCUUUAAACUUGUUACAUAAAUAUAAAUAGAAAUAUAUAAAUAAUAUCAAUAAUAAUAGUAAUAAUAAUAUUAUUAAUUAAUUAAAAAAUAACAAGUUUAAAGGACUAAAUCGAACUAAAAUACGGAAAUUUGGGGCGGAUUCGAAAUAAAUAAAAAAGGAGGGAUUGAUUUGAAUGCGCGAAUAACAUAGAGGGUCUGGAAGGGAAAUUUUCGCUUCUCCUCUAAAACGGCGUCCUUCAAAUAGGACUAAAUUGAUAUUAGAAAUAAACUAAAGGGACAAUUUUAAAAAUAUGAAAAAACUGAUUGAGAAAACAUUAAAAAGCGGAGGGGCUAGAAGUGAAAUUUUCCCCUCCGUGAAAGCACGCGGAUCCUGGAGCAGGCUGGUCGGGUUCGGGUCGGAUAACAUCAAAACGACGCCGUUUUGGUGCCUGAAGCUCAGGCCCAAAACGACGUCGAUUAAGAAGCCUAUUUAAGGUAAAAAAUCUGAAAAAAAAUCAUUUUAACCAGCUUUAAAAAAAAACAUCCUUCCCCUUUUUUCUCUCAAGGCCCUCUACCUCCGGCCUGGAUUUCGGCCGUGGCUUUAAAAAAAAAAUUUUUUUUAUUUUGUUUUUGUUUUUUGUUGCUAUAUACUGAUAUAUAUAUUAAAAGAAACAAAGUAAAAAAAAUCUAAAUAAAAACACUAAAAAGAGGGUUUUUAAAAAACCUUGCUUUCAGGAUUUUCUUUUCUGAUCUCUUACAUUUUUUCCUUGAAUCUCUUCUUUUAUUCCCCCCCCCCCAAAAAAAAGAAAAGGGAUCCCCUCUUACAAUGUUCGAAUGGCCUUAUAGGUAGAGCCAUUUUACAAUUUUUUUAUUAUUUGCUUGCUGUAGUUUCUCUCUAAUUUUGCAGGUGCAAGUGGGUGGAGUUGAUGCGGCGCUACAGGCGACGGUGGUGACAGGCGGUCAGGGGUAGGUGCGGCAGUGGCAUGGGCAGUGGUGGCUAAAGGCAGUAGGCUAGGGUUUCAGUUUUCUGAAACCCUAGUUUGACUAUUGGAAAUUUGGGUUGGGUCUAAUUUGUUAGUGGGCUUAUUGGGCCGAUUGCAUUGGGCUGUUUGGGUUAGUCUAGGUGGGUUUGGUAUUUGGGCUUGUAAUGGGUUAUUUGGGUAUUGGGUAGGUUUGGGUUUGUUGGUCCUCGGGUAAAUUUGGGCUGUACAUGGUGGAUUCGACAUCUAUCAACCUUUAGUCUGAUAAAAAUGAGUAAAUUAAUUAAAAGUCUAAUAUGUCAUCUAUCAAGUCUAAUUGAGAGGAUUCCUUUUCUCCAGCUUCGGAGUGGGUGACUCCAAGAAAAUAGAGAUAUAUAUGUGACUAACUACAUUGAAAACAUAUAGGAUAAGAUCUAAGUAGAAUAGAUCCUAAAUUUAUUUAUGAAUUUAUUCACUAAUGACGCUUAUAGUGUGACAUGUCUUAAUCUUGAGUGAAUUAUUAAUUUUGUAUGUGUGAUUCAUAUACUUUGAUAUAAAUGAAAAUUUUUAUUUUAAAUAAAUAAAAAAUUUAAAGCUAAUAGAUUAAAUAUAUAACUUAUGUAGUAUGUAGUAUCAUUCGAUAACAGGUGAAUGGCUAAAGAAAACUCUAUAACAUGUUGAACAUUAUAAUUACUUAAAUACGUCCAGCAGCUUCAAAACUAAAAAGGUUUAAAAUUAAAGCAGGUAAACGGCUAAAGGAAACUCCACCACUAGCAUUUGAUGCAGCAUAUAUUCACUAUACUCAACUUUCAAAAGUUUUAGUUCUGCCAUUUAAGGCUCUGCAGCAGCACCUGGCAUGUAAUACAUACUAAUAGUAUAUCAAAAGCAACUCCAUUGGUGAGGUCAGUUCACCGGCCAGAUUUUUUACAGGUUAGGUGCUGGUGCAAAGCCUUUAAUUGUUGAAGGGUAAAUUACAUCAACUAUCACUUAAUUUUAGGCUAGUUAACAAAGCAUUCAUUCAAGUUUUAAUUCAGUCACUUAAUUUUUGAAAUAUAUCAAAACAAUUACAACUAACUAUUUUAGAUGUAACGAAGCUACCAUUUUCCGUUACAGACUUAAUAGAAAUGCCAUUUUCUAUCCCUCUCCCUCUUUCCACAAUCCCUACCCUACUUUGAUUUUCUUUCCCUCUCCCCUUCUUCCCCACCACCAGUGCUAUUAGAAGCCUAACCACAUUGUCCUUCCAUUUCAUUUUCUUCCAUGGCCAUCCAUUCUUGCCUUUGCACUUCUCACCAUUUCCAUCUUCGUUGUAACUUGGUUCAUCUUCUUCACUCAUGCUUCCAUCAUUUCCUAGAUUCACAUGCAAAGAACAAAGUGUAAAAUGAGAAGAACCAAUGUAUACCAUGUCAACAAGAAAGGUUGGUCAAGCUUGUUAAUGGGAUUCAAGAUAAUGUUGCUAUUUGUCACUACAUCAAGUUUUGGUCCCCAUUGAUAAGGAUAACCUUCACAAUAACAAAAAAUCAGAGCUUAUUUUUUCUUAGAAACCCAAAAACAUACAUAUAAAAAAGCACAUUACUUUCACAAUUUCACAAUUCCAUGAAUUUUACAUCUUUUUAAUUUAGUCCUUAAAUCAUAAUUUUAUCAAAAUUCCCUUUACAAAAGUUGUUUAUCUAUCAACAACAUUUCAUUUACUACCAUAAAACAUCAUAAUUAAACUAUAUUCAUCCAUGAAAAAACCCUAAUACUUUGAUAACUUUACAAAUUAAUCCCUGAGAUAGCUAAAUUAAGCCUUUACGAUCUCGAAAAUAUAAAAAUUAUUAAAUACGGGACAAUAAUACAUAUAUAAUUAAACCAAAAUAUUUUGCUUGAGCUCAACACCCAUAACUAGGGUUUCCAUGUCUUUAAUUUGGGAAAGAUGAUAAAAUGAUGAUAUUUUAGUUUAUUUUAUUAUUUAUCAUCUUUUUAUCUUUUACUUUCCAAUUUAAUCCUUUUCUUUAUUUAAUUUUCCAUUGAUGACUAAUCAUACUUAUCUACUUACUCCUCUUAAUGGUCUAUUUUCCAUAUAAGGACCUUCAAUUUUGAAUUUCAUAACUAAUACCUAUAGCUGCUAUAACUCAACUUUUGCAUUUUAUGCAAUUUGGUCCUUUCCAUCUAAUUAGACAUGUAAUCGAUAAACUUUUUUUAACAAAAUUUUUAUAUGAUAUUCCUAUCAUACGAUGGACCAUGAAAUAAUAUUAAAAUAAAUUUUCUUUUGGACUCAGAUUUGUAGUCCCGAAACUACUGUUCCGAUUUCGUUGAAAACGGGCUGUUACAACUAUUACAUUCAACCAAAUAUAAGAAUACUAUUACAGUUCUAUUCCAUUACAUUUAACCAAACAAUUGAAUUAUUGAUUAUAGUUUUAUUCCAUUACAGCCUUAUUCUAUUACAACCAUAUUCAAUUCCAGUGAACUAAACAUGCCGUGAAAUUUUCAACAAAAAAAAGUGUUAAAUAAGUUAAGUAGAUAGAUAACUAUUUAUCAGAAAAUAUUAAGUUGAUUUUAUUUUAUUAAAAAAUUGAAAUAAAUUAUUUUUUUAAAAGAUGAGAUAUUCAAACUAACAUAUUAUCUUUUAUCCAAAACUAUCCAAAAUAAUAAAAAAUAUUAUAUUAACAAGAUUAAAAUAAAAUAAUAAAUAGUAUUUUAAAAAUUAAUAUUUACUUUUACGAAACAACAUAGUUUGUCAAUAUCAGACGAAUCUUGAUCCAAGAUACUGGCAAGCAGUAAAACAUAUACUCAAGUAUUUACAAAGAAUACUAAAUUAUAUGUUUAUGUAUUUUAGAGGAGACCAUACUCUUAAUGGUUAUACAGAUUCUGACUUCUAAAUGUGUCAGGAUUCGAGAAAAUCAACAUCAGACUGUGUCUUUGUCCUAUACGGCGGGUCAAUAGUGUGGAGAAAUGCCAAGCACAGUUGCACUGCUAAUUCUACUAUGGAGGCUGAAUAUGUGACUACUUUCGAGGCAAUAAAAGAAGUAAUAUGGCUUCAGAAGUUCCUUAUGGAUCUCGAAGUUGUUCUUGGUAAGGAAAAACUAUCGUAUUGUAUUGUGACAAUAGUGUUGCAAUAGCUAAAACCAAAGAAACCAGAAACCACAAGAGGGCAAAACAAGAGAUAGAAAGUAUCACAUCGUAUGGAAGGCAGUAGAAAAUGAAAUAUUGGAUGUAGUCAAAGUCACAUCAGAGGACAACCUUACGGAUUCUUUGCUAAGACUGUGGCGGCUAUGAGUUUUGAGAAACAUGUAGAGGGCAUGAGAAUACGAAAAAUGACUUAUUUACUUCACUAGGGCAAGUGAGAUAUUGUUAAGAUCUAGUACCCUUAAUGUAGUAUUUUCAUCCAUAUGUAUUAGUAAUUUUCAAACAAAUUGGUUUAAUAAAAAUAUUCAUCAAUUUCAUUAAUCUCUUUAUAUAUUGUCCUCUACGGCCUUUUUCAUGCAAAACAAAAUGAAAUAAAAUAUUGACUCAUUAAUUAUCUAACCUUUAACUAAUACUAAAUGGUGGAUCGUGAUACAAAAAAAUAACUUAUAUUACUAGAUAAUCUAAACACACUCUUGAUAAUAGGCUUAAUUAACAUAUUUUUAUUAUUUAUUUUAAUUAAUUUUGAACAUGAGCUCUACUGAUUUUGACAUUUUAUGGGUAAUUUUCUAUGUAGGUAUAAUAUUUUUUCAUGUGAAAAAAAUUGAGUUUGGGUUACAAGGAAAUUUUACGUGAGAACUAGGGUGGAGCCCACUAUUCCUAAAUUUUUAAGACUAUUUUAAUAAUGAUUUUAAAGGUCAACGAAAAAUUCAUAUAUUUUAUUUUAGGGUUUAUUAGUCUAUAUAUAUAUAAUAAAGGGAGGCGUUUUUACAACCACCCACCCAGAACCAUUGUCCCCUUUUUCUUAUUUAAUAAUUUUUUUUGCGUUAUUUUUGAGUUGCGAGACUUCGAAUUCACAUUUAAUGUUUUUUAGAUUGGUGUACAGCCCAAUUUGCCCGGGCCCACACUAAAUAAAAUCCAAACCAAUUAAACUAACCCACUAGCCCAACUAACCCAAUAACCUUCAGCCCAAACCAAGACCCAAGCCCAAAUACUAAGGGUCAAACUAGGGUUUCAGCUUUUCUGAAACCCUAGUGCCGCCGCACUCCACUUGCCCUGCCACCGCCGUUCUGCUGGCCGCCGCGCACGUCCCAUCGCCGCUCACCUGCUCCCAACCGCUCACCUGCAACACGCAACAUUAAGAAGCAAAAAUAGAGUAAAAAUAAAAAGAAAAAAGCUUGUAAAAGGCUAUAAAAAGCCAUUCGAAUCACUGUAAUGGGGGUUCCGCCCCUUCUUUCACGAUUUCAAGAAAUAAAAGCAAAAACAAAUUUGAGCAAAGAGAAAAAAACACAAGCAGUGAACGGAAAAGAAAAGCGAAGGUCUUUUAUUUUUUUUAUUUUUUCUUUACUUUCGAAACAGUUCAUAUACCCAUUCAUAUAUAUAUAUUUACUUUCUUCAAAAUAUAAAUAUAUACGAAAUUUUUUUUAAAAAAAAUUUACCUUUUCGAUUUUUCCGGCCACCGUGUAGGGUGGCCGGCCGGCGUUCCUCUGGCCGGAAAAUGGACUUGGUCCAGAGAGAAUAUCCCUCCCCCUUUUCUUUUUUUUCUCCUCAAUGCCCAAAUGAUUUUUUUUUCAGAAUAUUGCCUUUUAUACACUUGUGAAACGACGUUGUUUUGACCGGCGUUCUUAAGCCCCAAAACGUCGUAGUUUUGACUUGGGGCGGACUGACCCGACCCGAACCGCUUAGGAUCCGCGUGUUUUUAGAUUUGAGGGGUUAUUUGCGCCAUCAGUCCUUCCGCUUUUGAGACAGUUUACAAUUGGGUCCUAUCCCCUUUUAUUAUUUGUUUUAAUUUUGCCCCGGAGUUCCACAUCUGUUUCAAUUUGGUCCAGAGCCAUGUGUCUGGGCUUUGGUAGAAUGACACCGUUUAACUGAUAGGGGAUAAUUUCUUAGUUAGUCCUUCCUAUUUUUGCGCGAGUCACAAUUUAAUCCAUUUGUUUGUUUUCAGUUUUGAUUUUGCCCCUAUGAUUUAGUUUAUUUUCAGUUUAAUCCUUUUUUUUAUUUUUAGCUAUUUUAUUAUUAAAUUAACUAUUUUAAUCCUAUUACAACUAUUAUUAUAUUAUUAAUAUUAUUAUUAUCAUUAUUUACUCAUUUAUGUCUUGUUAAUUCCUAAUUUUGUUAUAUAUAUUGAUACGAGCCAAGGAGGUGACACUCAAAGGGUUGUCUUUCCUAGUGGUCCAAUCACUCGAAGCAAGGCACGACAAUUAAAAUCAAAGAUGAAUGCUUUUUUCCAAGACUUUGUUGCUACAAAUUUAAUUCAUCAUGUUCGUGACAUUGACAAAUACGAUAAUGCAAUUCACUGGACCAAUCUUGGAAUAGUGAAAGCCCAUAAAUUGGUGGAUUAAUCUUUUAUGUAUAUUAUUAUUAUUAUUUACUUAAUUCUCAUUGGUUGGGACACAUCAUUUAUGAGUUAAGUAAUUUUAUUGGGUAGGUUAUUAUUUAUUUAUUUUCUUAGAUAAUUUUAAAGAGUUUUAUUAGGAUUCAAUUACUCUUUAAAGAGUUUUUAUUACGAUUCAAUUACUCUUGUAAUUUGCCUAUAAAUAGGCUUGUUUUCUACACAUUGGAGACAGAAUGAAAAAAGAGAUUAUUUAUUUUCUUCCAAAUUUGUGUGAGGCAAAUUUUUGAGAGUAGAGUGAUUCUUCUCUUGCUAUUUAGUUUGGAGUUUGUUACUUUCGAGGGUAUUUCAGAGUUACAAAUAUUCAAAUUUCUUUCCCGUUCAUCGGUGUUUCUAGAGGUUCUUCUUCUAGGAGUUUUGUAGGGAGCCGCUCAAUCAUUGGCGUUUUUGGUUGCAAGUUAACCAAGGGUUCCAUAGGGCAAAUCUAUCCUUUUAUUAUUAUCAUUAUUAUUUAACUAAUUUAUUUAUUCUCGUUUUUAUUUCUAAUUUGUGUUUCUCUUGUGUCUAGAUCCGGGGUUUCCGCAUCAGUUGGUAUCAGUUUCAGGCGAUUCGGUGUUAUUUUCGAAGCUAAAAUCAAAUCCAAAAUGAGUCAAAAUACCUAAAACACUUUUCAUUGGUUUCUUCGAUUCUCUUUUUUGUGAAGUUUGUGUUUAUUCUCCUCUUAUUCUUUAAAAAAAACAAAAAAAGCGCAAAAAAAGUGAGUAAAAAGCGCAAAAAAAAGAAAAAAAAAAGCAAAAAGCAAAAAAGCGCAAAAAAGAAAAGUUGCCUACCUUUCAUACGUAGGUUUCUUCUUUUCCUAUUAUUGUUAUUAUUUUUAUUUUAUUUUUCCCAAAAUUGAAUUUUUUCCCCCUUCUUUUCUUAACUCAAGUAUAAUUAAAGCUUCAAUUUUUGAAAAUCUUAAGACACCAAAUGUUUCCGAUUUUUUGUUUUCCUUUAAAUUGGGUAGAGUUUUCUUAAGUUUUCUUCUUAUUAAAGCUUUUCUUUGACUCUAGAGUUAGGGAUCGUUGCAGGUUUACGUUUUUUUUUGUUUCUCUUACGUUUUCUAACACUUUGUUUCUUCUUGAGUUAGCAAAUAUUAAAGGCAUGCACAAUUCCUUCAUCCGUGUAGCCUCCAUUACAAAUUGCUUCGUCAAGUUUAUUGGCCUCUUAAAGCAAUUAGGAUCUUCAUUGUUUCUUUGAAGUUUGCACCUCCAUUAUUUGAUCUUGAUUAGUAACCCUCUCCAAACAUAUUUACAAGUUUUGAAUCAUUCAGAGAGUUAUUCUUUUGAGAGCUAACGAGUGAGGUUAUUAUUAUUUUUUUCUUGUUCCUGUUUGUGUGAUUUUUUCAUAGAUACCAUGCCGAUCACUAGAUCCCAAACUAGUAAAAAUAAAGAGGAUGAGCAAAAAAGAGAUAACGAUCCUUUGGUCGAGUUGUUACAAAAAGAGAUGAAAAAGUUGCAAACUCAAGUCGAACAUCGCAUGACCCAGAUGUUACAAGAGCAAAGGGAGUAUCUUGAUACAAAACUUACAACUCAAGAGAGAUACAUUGCCGAUAAUUACAAGAAGUUGAACGAAGCCUUUAUAAGCCGAUCAAAUUCGCGAGAUCGAACUUUUAAACAAAGGGAGGACCAUGUUUUUGAUGAUGACUUUGAGUCCGAGUAUGUACCUAAAGAAAGGGUGGAACGAAACAAUGACACCCCCAAACCAAAAUUUCCUUCUUUCUCAGGGAAGAAUGAUCCUGAUGCUUACCUUGAUUGGGAGGAAAAGAUGGAAGCAGUCUUUGCUUGUUACAAUUACUCUGAUGAGAAAAAGGUAACAUACGCUGUCACUGAGUUCAUUAAUUAUGCACUAACAUGGUGGAAUCAAUUAUGUAAAAGCAGGAUUCUUUAUAGAGAGCAACCUGUUACUACUUGGGUUGAAAUGAAGCGCAUCUUGCGAAAACGGUUUGUUCCACCAUACUAUUAUCCAGAACUCCAUCAAAGGCUCCAACAUCUUGUUCAAGGAUAUAGAUCUGUGGAUGACUACUACAAAGAGAUGGAGACUAUUCAGAUUAGAGCCAAUCUUGUUGAAGAGGCUGAGGUAACUAUGGCUAGAUUCCUUGCCGGCCUAAAGCCUGAGAUUACAAAUCGAGUUGAGUUACAACACUACAUGGAUGUUGAAGAGAUGCUUCAAACCGCACUCACCAUUGAAAAGCAAUUACGAAAUAAAGGGACACCGAGGGGUGCUAGUUCAGUUUCUAAUCCUGCUUGAAGAGAAAAUUGGCAAAAACAAGAUGAUAAAUUGUGGAAUGAGAGAGAUGCACGGUUCAAGCCAAAUGAGCCUAGAACUUACUCCAAAGAUAGAGGUAUGCCUAAUUCAUUUAAAGGUUCUACUUCUAUUAAUCAAGCUCCAUCUUCUUCUUCUACUUCUCCUAGUGCCAUUAAGCAGCCAAAAGAUAUUACUUGCUUCAAAUGCCAAGGAAUGGGUCACUAUGCUCGAGAAUGCCCUAAUAAAAAGUCAUUGGUGAUUCGAGAAGAUGGCGAGGUUGAUUUUGAGUCUGAUAACGAAGAUGAGAUGCCUCCUUUGGAAGAUGCUGAUGAUGUGCAUACUCAUGAUGAGUAUGAAGAAUACUUGGAGUAUGGUGAGAAAGCACUUGUUGCUCGAAGGGCUUUAAAUGUCCAGUUUAAAGAGGAAUGGAGCGAACAAAGAGAUAACAUUUUCCACACGAGAUGUUUGAUUGGUGGACAACCUAGUUCAUUGAUCAUCGAUAGUGGAAGUUGCACCAAUGUGGUAAGUUCUUCCCUUGUUGAGAAACUUGGCCUACCUUGUGUGAAGCAUCCAAGGCCAUACCGCUUGCAAUGGCUGAAUGAUAGUAGGGAGGUAAAAGUAUCUAAACAAUGCUUAGUUUCAUUUUCCAUUGGUAGAUACUCUGAUAAAGUUUUGUGUGAUGUUGUUCCAAUGCAAGCUGGGCACAUAUUACUUGGACGACCUUGGCAGUUUGAUCGACGAGUAAAUCAUGAUGGUUUCCUUAACCAAUAUACCUUUGUGUUCCUUGGAAAGAAGUUUACUUUGGCUCCACUUCCUUCUUAAGAAGUCGACAAUGAUCAACUCAAACUUGCUAGUGAGAUGGGUAAGGGAAGUGAGGUAAAAUCAUUGAAAAAGGCUGAGAGUAAAGAGGCCCUUAGUGUUAAAAGCCAACUUAAAGGCCCAACAUUGGUGAGUGAUUGCACACACAAGUCACGAGAUGAGAAAGUGAGUUUAUUCGCUAGGUUUCGAGAUAUUAAAUUUGCUCCUUGUACAAAACAAACAUUUGUAAUUAUUAGGUUUAGGGAAAACUUUGUUUUGACUAACCCUAAUACACAUUUGCCUAGUUGUUUUGUUGAUAUUUUG